UACGGAGGGUGCGAGCGUUGUCCGGAAUCACUGGGCGUAAAGGGCGCGUAGGCGGCCUGCUAAGUCGGGGGUGAAAUCCUGCGGCUUAACCGCAGGGCUGCCUUCUAAACUGUCAGGCUAGAGCACAGUAGAGGCAGGUGGAAUUCCCGGUGUAGCGGUGGAAUGCGUAGAGAUCGGGAAGAACAUCAGUGGCGAAGGCGGCGCGCUGGACCGAGACUGACGCUGAGGCGCGAAAGCGUGGGGAGCAAACAGG
rnacentral:rRNA from 1 species